GGGGAUAUAGCUCAGUUGGUAGAGCUCCGCUCUUGCAAAACUCGUUAGACGAUAUAAAACUAUAUGAUAGCACUCAUAGC
rnacentral:tRNA from 1 species